rnacentral:lncRNA from 1 species
AAUGUAUUAGUAGCAAUCAUGUCAACAUUUGUUAAUGUAUGUAUACAGAGGAAAUAUUUUAAAGUUUAACAUCUAAGAAUAAAUUGGUGCUCUGUUAUGGAUCCCCAAAGAAAAUUAGGUGUAGAACCAAUGUCGUUUAUUUAUUAAAGUACACGUGUUUAUAUUAACUGCUAUGAGCCAUCCAAUGUUCACAAUGUUAGGGGUAUAUAAGUGAACAAAAAGAUAAAAAAAUAAAAUCCUAUAUUUUUCAGAGUUUAUAUUCUUUUGUAGGAGAUAGAUAUUAAACCAUAAAUGUGAUAAAUUCUAUUGACAUGACAAGGACCCUGGAUACGGAGAAACAAUAAUAGAGGGAAGCAAGGAGGAUUGCGAGAGUUGUUAGAAAGAAUCACUUCAUCAUCUCCCUCAUCCGUCCUAAGGACAAGCCUCUUUGAGAAGUUGACAUGUUGAAAUAUAUAAUGAGAGCACUUGAAAAGUUGCAGCCAAGGAGAGAGAGGAGAAUGUGGUUACCUUCAUUGAAACAGAUCUCUCAGCAUUUUAAAUAAUUCAUUAUUUUUUGCUCUACGAACAGUGAUGUUUUUCAACAAUAUCAACUACUAAUUAAGAAGAAUCUUAUAAAACAAAAAUAUCAAAUAUUUUAUUACAAUGAUAAGGUGAAUAUAUUGAUCCUCCUGGAAGAAUCAUUCACUGGCGGUAGAACUGAGUCCAAUUUUAAAUUCUACAGGGGAGCUGGUUUCGGUUUAAAUUAAUGAAGAAUUUGAAAUAGACUUUUCCAAGGAUGGAAAGCAUUGCUCUGGAAGAUAAUGAAUCUCAGACAUGGAAGACAUCCUGGCUAGGCUACAUAAUCAUUGGGCAGAGACUUUUGUCAUGAGGAUUCAAACCAUCAACUACAUGGACCCUAGGAGUAUACGAUCCUAUAACAAGGAUUGUUACUUGCAGAAUUUGAAGAUAAUAUUCUGACUUGAUUUUGAAUCCCCAGGCUUCUGUGUCUUCAUCUUCUGCUCAUAUUAUCAUUUUAUUCUAUAUGAUCUAUUUCCUGGGGUUACAUACACAUUUUUAUUAAAAAGAUUAAAAAAACAAUAAUCAAAUCCAACAUCUUUUGAAUCUUGGAACAUGUACUCAGCAUAUUUUCCAAAACCUUAAGGGCUUUAUUAUAUCAGAUUUUGGAAGACAAUUUGUGAGAUGGGAAAGUAAUUAUGGGUGUACCUGUGUAUUUCUUCUUCCACUUAUACAAGAGCCUCAAGGCCUUCUUUAGGAUGUUAAGUAGUUUGAAGUAAGGUGAAAGACAGAUAGGGAAUGGCAUCUUUUUAUCCACAGGGAUAUCUUUGUCAUAAAGUUUCACAGACUUUGGAAAGUCAAGGUUAAAGAUAAUUUACUUAACAUUAAGAAAUGUAGCUUUCAUUGUCUUGAGUUUUCAUUCGUAUUAUUAUUGUACAAGUGGGACAGAUAGCUCUCUGACAAUUAUGCAAACAAAAUGUAUGUGUUUAUGAGUGAGUUACUGAGAAGACUCUAAACAUUUGUUUAAUGAGGUAAACAUUGCUAUCAAAC